rnacentral:antisense_RNA from 1 species
CUUUUUAUCUAGACUAUGUCUUUAAAGUGGUGGAAAUGACCAAUUCUGUGUCUUAGGAGGGAGGUGGCAUGAAGCCGGGAAAUGACUGAGGAAGGGAUACUGAUAUGAAAUGAUUUAUUUCUGGAAAAUGCUCUUGUCCCUGGUUCCCUUCACGCCCCCACCCCCAGCCUCAGCUCUGUCUGGGUGGAACGAAUGUCUGCUAAUGAACUAAACAAACAGGUCUCUUAAUCUUAUCAUGGAGCUGACCCAGAGACUGGCACAGAUAUCCAAAGUAUCAUAAUUGGCAGGUCAGAAUUAAAACUACAUACAUCAUGGUGACUUUAUAGCUGAGGCAAAGUGGAGCUCAAGUGUUACUUUCCCAGUAAGCAAAUCAUAAUGAAGUAUCAUGCUGGUGACUAAUUUAACUAACAUUGUCCAGGAAACUGCUGUUGUCCAGGAAGAGAAGAGUUGAGCUGAGUGUCAACUACUG